rnacentral:rRNA from 1 species
CAGAUUACUUCGGUUUGAAGUCUUUUAUGACUGAGUGGCGGACGGGUGAGUAACGCGUGGGUAACCUGCCUCAUACAGGGGGAUAGCAGCUGGAAACGGCUGGUAAUACCGCAUAAGCGCACAGUACCACAUGGUACGGUGUGAAAAACUCCGGUGGUAUGAGAUGGACCCGCGUCUGAUUAGCUUGUUGGUGGGGUAACGGCCCACCAAGGCGACGAUCAGUAGCCGACCUGAGAGGGUGACCGGCCACAUUGGGACUGAGACACGGCCCAGACUCCUACGGGAGGCAGCAGUGGGGAAUAUUGCACAAUGGAGGAAACUCUGAUGCAGCGACGCCGCGUGAGUGAAGAAGUAGUUCGCUAUGUAAAGCUCUAUCAGCAGGGAAGAUAGUGACGGUACCUGACUAAGAAGCUCCGGCUAAAUACGUGCCAGCAGCCGCGGUAAUACGUAUGGAGCAAGCGUUAUCCGGAUUUACUGGGUGUAAAGGGAGUGUAGGUGGCCAGGCAAGUCAGAAGUGAAAGCCCGGGGCUCAACCCCGGGACUGCUUUUGAAACUGCAGGGCUAGAGUGCAGGAGGGGCAAGUGGAAUUCCUAGUGUAGCGG